GACCAGCCACACUGGAACUGAGACACGGUCCAGACUCCUACGGGAGGCAGCAGUGAGGAAUAUUGGUCAAUGGGCGGAAGCCUGAACCAGCCAAGUAGCGUGCAGGAUGACGGCCCUACGGGUUGUAAACUGCUUUUAUGCGGGGAUAAAGUUGCCCACGUGUGGGUUUUUGCAGGUACCGCAUGAAUAAGGACCGGCUAAUUCCGUGCCAGCAGCCGCGGUAAUACGGAAGGUCCGGGCGUUAUCCGGAUUUAUUGGGUUUAAAGGGAGCGCAGGCCGCCGUGCAAGCGUGCCGUGAAAAGCAGCGGCCCAACCGCUGCCCUGCGGCGCGAACUGCUUGGCUUGAGUGCGCCGGAAGCGGGCGGAAUUCGUGGUGUAGCGGUGAAAUGCUUAGAUAUCACGAAGAACCCCGAUUGCGAAGGCAGCCCGCUGUGGCGCCACUGACGCUGAGGCUCGAAGGUGCGGGUAUCGAACAGGAUUAGAUACCCUGGUAGUCCGCACGGUAAACGAUGGAUACCCGCUGUCCGGCCCGUACGGUCUGGGCGGCCAAGCGAAAGCGUUAAGUAUCCCACCUGGGGAGUACGCCGGCAACGGUGAAACUCAAAGGAAUUGACGGGGGCCCGCACAAGCGGAGGAACAUGUGGUUUAAUUCGAUGAUACGCGAGGAACCUUACCCGGGCUUGAAUUGCAGGAGAAUGAUUCAGAGAUGAUGAAGUCCCUCGGGACUCCUGUGAAGGUGCUGCAUGGUUGUCGUCAGCUCGUGCCGUGAGGUGUCGGCUCAAGUGCCAUAACGAGCGCAACCCCUCUCCGCAGUUGCCAUCGGGUGAUGCCGGGCACUCUGCGGACACUGCCGCCGCAAGGUGCGAGGAAGGUGGGGAUGACGUCAAAUCAGCACGGCCCUUACGUCCGGGGCCACACACGUGUUACAAUGGCCGGUACAGAGGGCUGUCCGCAUGCAAGUGCGGGUGAAUCCCGAAAUCCGGUCCCAGUUCGGACUGGGGUCUGCAACCCGACCCCACGAAGCUGGAUUCGCUAGUAAUCGCGCAUCAGCCAUGGCGCGGUGAAUACGUUCCCGGGCCUUGUACACACCGCCCGUCAAGCCAUGAAAGCCGGGGGUGCCUGAAGUCCGUGACCGCGAGGGUCGGCCUAGGGCAAAACCGGUGAUUGGGGCUAAGUCGUAACAAGGUAGCCGUACCGGAAGGUGCGGCUG
rnacentral:rRNA from 1 species